UACAGAGGUCUCAAGCGUUGUUCGGAUUCAUUGGGCGUAAAGGGUGCGUAGGCGGCGCGGUAAGUCGGGUGUGAAAUCUCGGAGCUUAACUCCGAAACUGCAUUCGAUACUGCCGUGCUUGAGGACUGGAGAGGAGACUGGAAUUCCCGGUGUAGUGGUGAAAUGCGUAGAGAUCGGGAGGAACACCCGUGGCGAAGGCGGCCAGCUGGGCCGACCCUGACGCUGAGGCGCGAAGGCGUGGGGAGCGAACGGG
rnacentral:rRNA from 1 species